rnacentral:rRNA from 1 species
AAGGCACUUCUCCCAGUGGGCCUAAAAGCAGCCACCUCUAAAGAUAGCGUUACAGCUCAAGGAAACCUUGACCAGCAAUAAAAACAAAUAAAACCACACCCCCUUUAUAUACUGAGCCCCUCUAUGGCAAUAUAGAGAAGAUAAUGCUAGAAUCAGUAAUAAGAGGUAUACCACCUCUCCUCGCACAAGUGUAAGUCAGAUAGGACCCGCCGCUGACAAUUAACGGACCCUGAAGGAGGGAACAAUAAAUAAAAAACAACAAACAGGAAAAACAUGUGCCAACGCCCGUUAACCCGACACAGGAGUGCACCCAGGAAAGACUAAAAGGGAGAGAAGGAACUCGGCAAAAUAUGAACCCCGCCUGUUUACCAAAAACAUCGCCUCUUGCUAACAAUGAAGUAUUAGAGGUCCCGCCUGCCCUGUGACAGCAGUGUUUAACGGCCGCGGUAUUUUAACCGCGCGAAGGUAGCGUAAUCACUUGUCUUUUAAAUGGAGACCUGUAUGAAUGGCAUAACGAGGGUUUAACUGUCUCCUCCCCCUAGUCAAUGAAAUUGAUCUGCCCGUGCAGAAGCGGGCAUAACACCAUAAGACGAGAAGACCCUAUGGAGCUUUAGGCAAAUGACCAAGCACAACAAAAUCUGGUGUUAACCAAGCCAAGAGAAUACAAAAGCUUAUGGUCAAAAUGCCUUCGGUUGGGGCGACCAUGGAGGAAAAAUAAUCCUCCAAGAGGAACGGGAAGAACCCUAAACUAAGAGAAACAACUCUAAGCAGCAGAAACUCUGGCCAAAAGUGACCCAGGAUU